rnacentral:rRNA from 1 species
GUCUAUAGCCAUGCCACUCUGAACACUUGAUCUUGUCUGAUCUCAGAAGCUAAGCAGGGUCAGACCUGGUUAGUACCUGGAUGGGAGACCACCUAGAAAUACCAGGUGCUGUAGGCA